ACCAUAAGGCUUGUCAUAAGGAUUGGUAUAACAUAAUCCUGGUGCAUAAAUGAUGCUUACGAUAAAUUUGGAUGUACUGUUUUGUUAUGUUACCAUAAGGGCAGUUAUAUUCGAUUUUGACGGUACCGAAAUGAAGGAUCUUACUUAACUAAAAUAUUAUAGCUUGUUAUGUUAACACAAGGCUAAUAAUAUUUUAGAGGUCAAGAUAAAAUAUUGAGAAUUGCAUGA
rnacentral:lncRNA from 1 species